rnacentral:rRNA from 1 species
AUUGAACGCUGGCGGCAGGCCUAACACAUGCAAGUCGAACGGUAACAGGAAGAAGCUUGCUUCUUUGCUGACGAGUGGCGGACGGGGGAGUAAUGUCUGGGAAACUGCCUGAUGGAGGGGGAUAACUACUGGAAACGGUAGCUAAUACCGCAUAACGUCGCAAGACCAAAGAGGGGGACCUUCGGGCCUCUUGCCAUCGGAUGUGCCCAGAUGGGAUUAGCUAGUAGGUGGGGUAACGGCUCACCUAGGCAACGAUCCCUAGCUGGUCUGAGAGGAUGACCAGCCACACUGGAACUGAGACACGGUCCAGACUCCUACGGGAGGCAGCAGUGGGGAAUAUUGCACAAUGGGCGCAAGCCUGAUGCAGCCAUGCCGCGUGUAUGAAGAAGGCCUUCGGGUUGUAAAGUACUUUUAGCGGGGAGGAAGGGAGUAAAGUUAAUACCUUUGCUCAUUGACGUUACCCGCAGAAGAAGCACCGGCUAACUCCGUG